ACCUUUAUCACUCUUCUAACUUUUUGCAGACCAGAAACUCAAGUAGGAACGGGAGAAAGAAAUCAAGGUACGGAUUAGUAGAGCAAGC